UUCUUCUCUGAAGUAGCAAAGCUGCACAUAAACAAGAAAAAUUCUCAACCAUCCUAACAACUCAAAACCACCAACUUCAAUGACCAUGUUCCAGCCAAAAUCCAUCCAAAUCGACCCGACCCGUCAUUCUCAACCCAAAAAUUGGCGAAAACCAGCUUCCCAAAGUCAACCCGACUUUGACCCGCCUAGAUGGCGUGUGUUGGUUACGGGAAUUCAAGAAAAACUUCUAGAAAUAAAUGAGCUGGCUCACCCCAACGUUCAAUUCUUGUGAAUCUCGGGUACCAUAGUACGAAUUGGUACAUAGACGGAAAAUUUUCACUGGCUUGUGAAGAUUAUUCCCUUUCCACUAAUUUCUAUUGGCCACUUUUUGGAAUUUCGUUCAAUAAAAUGAAAAUAGAGUUGGUCGGUCAAUCGGAGGAGGUUCCUGAGUUGGUAAUGCUAAUUUACGAUGGAGGUGCAUCUCGACGUAAACUCGUUAUCCUGUUUUGCUACCCAAAAACCGGUCAGUACUCGAUUCUUCCCUUUACUGUUAUGUCGUAAUGAUUGUAGCAGUAGUAGCUUUGGUUAAUGUCUUGAGGCUGGGAUGUUCUUUGUAGAUUGGCAUUGACAAUCCAUAGGUUUUUUUAUGUUGAAUCAGUUGAUGUUUUGGGUUCAUCUUUAUGUUUAGUCCAUGCUGACUUGAGGUCAUCAAACAAUUUGAAUUUCACACGUUGGAAGUUGUUUCCUAACUUAGUUGUUAUCCAUCUUUCAUUAUCUAGCUGUUUGAUUUGACAAGUGAAUAUGGUUCUUGAUAUACCGUGCCUUCGAUAUUUUAUGUUGAAGCCUUAAAGUAUUAGACUUUUUCUAGAACUGUCCAUGAAACUAUAUCUCAGUUUGCUUUUUAUGCACUGAUGUGUGCCACCUUGGAUUCUUUGAGUGCGGUUCAAUUGUUAGAUAUGCGAAAAAUCCAAGUUCUUCUGUGAUUAUAAUCUAAUUGACUAAGUAGCCAUGUUAAAACUAGACUUAGGAUAUCUUUAUAGACUAGAGGCUUUGAAUUCCAGAUUGCUGCUAUCAUUGUCUUUAGUUUUCUUGUUCUGUGACUCAUUUCUGUGGAAUAUCUAGGUUCAACUGUGGCUUUGUAUAACUCUCUUCUGUUAGUGCAUUUUACCUCAAGUAGAACUUUUUGUGUUAGAAAUUUUACGACUCAAAUAAAAGGACCAUUUGGAGAGAAUCCUGUUUAGUACCAUGUUAGUAUAUGUCUGUUAUUCGUUGGAAUUUGGGUUCUAAAAUAGUAGUAUUCAUCCUUCUCUAUGCCUAUUAAGAAAAUUUUUUGUUAUCUAUACUUAUAAUUCACCUAGAGCCAUUUAGUGGACUAUUCUUAAAAGAUCUGUUAACAUUCAGUUGUGCAGAUUAUUUUAAAGAUCAAUUUCCCUUUUCUAGUUUUAGUCGGGGGUUAAUCGAAAACAACCUCUCUAUCUCACAUGUGAGGUAGUGGCAUGGAUUGUGUACGCUUAACCUCCACAGACCCCACUUGGUGGCAAUAUACGGGGUAUCUUGUGGUUGUUGUCUAAACUUUCAUUACCGGUCCUUGUGGCCUCCAUAUUUGUUUCUUAUAUAUGAGUUUGAUUCAUGUUUCUUUGUUGCCCGAAUAAUUCAUUUUUGUGAACAUGUAUUAAUUCCUUCAUCUUUUUAUUUGCAUGAAUCCAUUUUUGAGUCCUACAUGGACUCUUUUCCUUUCGCAUAUUCAUGAUGGGAUCUUGAGGCCCAUCAUCUCUAUCGAGUCAACUCCGAGAACAAGUCUAAAAGUCGAUCAUGAGGCAUACCAAGGCAAGAAGAUGGAAGAAGAAAAAAUGGAUCCAAAGGCACCCUUAUUGAAGUAACUAAGAGACUCGAAGAGUCUUAUUUUGCUUUAUUUAUUUAUUUAUUUAUUGUUGCUUUAUUUAUUUUCAUUUAUUUUUUUAUGUGUUUAUUAAUUUAGUCAUUCAUUUGGGCCUUGAAGCCAAAGUUGUAUCUAAUACAGGCGAAGUGAAAACUCGAGCCAAAAAGGGCUCGAAAACAUAGAAUUAGGACAGGUGGAAGACGGGCCGAAAGCCCAACAUCUAGACUAAGACAGGUUGAUGGUUUGGGCUUAAAAUUCUAAAUCACUACUUCUCCCC